rnacentral:rRNA from 1 species
CAUGUCUUUUUGAUUAUAAUUUAAGGUUUAAUCUGCUCUAUGACAGUUGAAUGGCCGCAGUAUUUUGACUGUGCAAAGGUAGCGUGAUAAUUAGUUCUUUUAUUGUGAGCUGGUAUGAAUGAUUGAACGAAAGAGAAACUGUCUCAUUUUAAUUUUGGUUGAAUUUUAUUUUUCAGUUAAAGAGCUGAAAUUUAAGUAAGGGACGAGAAGACCCUAUAGAUUUUAAUAUUUUUUUUUAAUUUUAUGUUAAUUGAUUUAUAAUUUUAAUAAGAAUAUUUAGUUGGGGUGAUUUUGAGAUUAAUUAAACUCUUAAUUUAUUUACGGAGAUUUCUGGAUUUAAUGAUUUAUUUAUAUGACAAUAAAGCAAAUUACCUUAGGGAUAACAGCGUAAUUUUUUAAAAAGUUCUUAUUUAAUAAAAAGAUUGCGACCUCGAUGUUGGAUUAAAAUUUACUUUAGGUGUAGUGGCUUAAGGGUUGAGUCUGUUCGACUUUUAAAAUUUUACAUGAUCUGAGU